rnacentral:rRNA from 1 species
GACGAACGCUGGCGGCGUGCCUAAUACAUGCAAGUCGAACGCAGGGGGGACGGGUGAGUAACACGUGGGUAACCUCCCAUCAGAGGGGAUAACACUUGGAAACAGGUGCUAAACCGAUACUGAUGGAUGGAGCCGGGGUGCAUUAGCUAGUUGGUGAGGUAACGGCUCACCAAGGCCACGAUGCAUAGCCGUCCGGAUAGGAGGAUCGGCCACACUGGAACUGGGACACGGCCCAGACUCCUACGGGAGGCAUCAGUGGGGAAUCUUCGGCAAUGGGCGAAAGUCUGACCGAGCCACGCCGCGUGUGUGAAGAAGGUUUUCGGAUCGUAAAACACUUUUGUUAGAGAAGCGGUAUCUAACCAGAAAGCCACGGCUAACUACGUGCCAGCCGCCGCGGUAAUAC